UACGACCAUAUCACAUUGGAAUACUGGUUCACAUACGAUCACCGAAGUUAAGCGACGCCAAGCCUGGCCAGUACCAAGAUGGCUGCCCGUUUAGGAAAACCACAUGCUGUAAG